GCUGGGCGUGGUGGUGCAUGCCUGUAAUCCCAGCUACUCGGGAGGCUGAGGCAAGAGAAUCGAUUGAACCCAGGAGCCUGAGGCUGCAGUGAGUUCAGAUUGUGCCACUGCCCUCCAGCCUGGGUGACAAAGUGAGACUCUGUUUCAA
rnacentral:SRP_RNA from 1 species